rnacentral:rRNA from 1 species
GACGAACCGAGCGAACGUUGUUCGGAAUCACUGGGCUUAAAGGGCGUCGUAGGCGGGCUGCCGCGUCCGGGGUGAAAUCCCACGGCUCAACCGUGGAACGGCCCCGGGUACGGGCGGCCUCGAGGAAGGUAGGGGCGUGCGGAACUGUGGGUGGAGCGGUGAAAUGCGUUGAGAUCCACAGGAACUCCGGUGGCGAAGGCGGCACGCUGGACCUUUUCUGACGCUGAGGCGCGAAAGCCAGGGGAGCGGAACGGG